AAUCAACGCUGGCGGCGUGCCUCAGACAUGCAAGUCGAACGAUUAAACUUUCCUUCGGGAAAGAUAUAAAGUGGCGCACGGGUGAGUAACACGUAAGUAAUCUACAUUCGAGUGGGGAAUAACGUCCGGAAACGGACGCUAAUACCGCAUAAUGCAGCGGCACCUAAUGGUGACAGUAGUUAAAGAUUUAUCGCUUGAAGAGGGGCUUGCGGCAGAAUAGCUUGUUGGUAAGGUAACGGCUUACCAAGGCUACGAUCUGUAACCGGUCUAAGAGGACGGACGGUCACACUGACACUGAAUAACGGGUCAGACUCCUACGGGAGGCAGCAGUCGGGAAUUUUGGGCAAUGGGCGAAAGCCUGACCCAGCAACGCCGCGUGAAGGAUGAAGUAUUUCGGUAUGUAAACUUCGAAAGAGUGGGAAGAAUCAAUGACGGUACCAUUUAUAAGGUCCGGCUAACUACGUGCCAGCAGCCGCAGUAAUAC
rnacentral:rRNA from 1 species